AUUGAACGCUGGCGGCGUGCCUAACACAUGCAAGUCGAACGAAUUUUUGGAGCUUGCUCCAAAAGUUAGUGGCGCACGGGUGAGUAACACGUGGAUAAUCUACCCAUCAGUUCGGAAUAACAGUUGGAAACGACUGCUAAUACCGGAUGCGAUCUUUUUUUACAAUUAGGUGAAAGGGGGCCUCUGCAUAUGCUCUCGCUGAUGGAUGAGUCCGCGCCUCAUUAGGUAGUUGGUAGGGUAACGGCCUACCAAGCCGACGAUGAGUAGCCGGCCUGAGAGGGUAAUCGGCCACACUGGGACUGGAACACGGCCCAGACUCCUACGGGAGGCAGCAGUGGGGAAUAUUGCGCAAUGGGCGAAAGCCUGACGCAGCGACGCCGCGUGAGGGAUGAAGGCCUUCGGGUCGUAAACCUCUGUCAGGAGGGAAGAAGUGUACGGGUGCUAAUCAGCUCGUAUUUGACGGUACCUCCAAAGGAAGCACCGGCUAACUCCGUGCCAGCAGCCGCAGUAACAC
rnacentral:rRNA from 1 species